rnacentral:lncRNA from 1 species
UCUGGGACUGGACCUUCGAGUUGAUUGAAAGAAAGGUUUAGUCGUUUCAAGGAUGAAAAAUUUGCAUAACUCUUGGGGAUCGUGCCAUUGAGCCUGUUUUGAGAAAGAUCAAGGGAGCUGAGGUGCUCCAAAUCUGCCAAAUUUUCAGGUACCUCACCAUCCAACAAAUUCCUUGACAGAUUCAAACUUGUAAGCAUAUUAACUUUAUCAAAAAUUUUACCAGGUAUUGGACCAGCAAGUUUGUUCCCCGACAGGUCAAGAGAAUACAAGUUUCUGCAGCCUUUGAGAGUUUCAGGUAUGUUUCCCGACAGAUUAUUGUUCGAGAUGUCAAUGACUUGUACCAUUUCCAACAUGCCAAGCUCAUCUGGAAU